GGAACGAUUGCAACGUCCAGACCUUUACUACCGAUAUCAAAGAUGCAAAAUCGCUUGCUGUUACGGAGUCACAAAUGGAUUGAAACUUUUCUGAGGUGACUCAUCAAUUAAAGGUCAACAUGUAGCGUUGAUGGCCGCUGUUGCGGAAUGGAUUCCAGCGCUGAUUUCAAAUAUAUCCUCCAAUGUUCCCUCGGCUCCAACCAUCAUUCCUGUGGCAAAAAGAACAUCAGUUUUUUAUGAUCCAACGAUAGAGAUUCAAGAGUUGACAGCUGUGAUCAAGCAGGACAUCUCUGCACUUAAUGCCGCUGUAGUAGAUCUGCAACUCCUUAGCAACUCCCAAAAUGAAAGUGGAAGUAUGUCUACAGACACAAUGACCCAUACAACCACUGUGACAACCUUAAAAAUCGCUUAAUGAGCACCACAAAGGAGUUCAAAGAGGUCCUCACCAUUCGGACCGAGGUUCAUGUACCUUAUCUAUGUGGAUUUCUAUGGAGGAGAAGACAGAAAGGAUGUUAUCCAUCACCCUUGACAUCUCAGGAUUGAAAAUGUCCUGCUAAACUAUACAACCGCAAUUUACUUCUCCCAGAAUCAUUGUGGUUGUUUCCUUUUGAUCCUCUUUCCAACUCUGGCGAGUUCAUUUUCUCUGACGACUACGUUUCUCCGCCGCCACCACCACCACCACCGGAAUAUUCCUUUCCCUAGGAACUCGAAUUCCAAACCCACCCAAACGCCAGAAGCUCUAUCACGACCAUUUCCCACCGGAAAUUACCAGAAUUGUUUCGGCGUCGCUGUCAUUCCGAACCUUCCUCUAAUCCAAGACUUGAAGCCUCCGCCGCCGCCUCCUUCAUCGUCAUUGCCGUAGGAGAGCCUUUUGACUAGAGCGGUUCCUUCCCUGCGUAAUGUGAUCGCAGGGAGACUGAGGUGGCGAAGAAGAACAAUAGAGGAAAGUGUGGCGUGAAGACGUUGUCGGCUCAGAGCAUUGCGGCGAUGAACACUGUUUGGAAACUUUCAGAUGGCAGUGGCAGAAAUAGGUAAGGCAUCAAAACAUGAGGCUAGUUCUCUGCCUGAUCAAUCACUGUCAUUUUGCAAGAACGUGAAACCUAAAAUGUUUGAUUUAAAGAAAAAACGGGAAGGCUCUCAAAUAAGACAAGACCCUUCAGUGAUGAUGAAAUUGAUAUGGACUCAAGAGAACCUGGAAUAAUUAUCCAUUCCAAUGAUCCUGACAUGCAAAUAGAAGAAUGGAAGUCUAUGGCAGGUUCAUGUUUAUUUGCAGCAACUCCAUUGCUUUGAACACAUUCCAUGCUUGCUAGCACUUGACAUAGUUGAGGUAUGAUGAGUAUCCCAUAUUUGCUUAUUGCAUUUAUGUAAACUACAUAUAUUAAAAUGCUUGCAUAACAAUGAUAAUAUUUAUUCCAUGUCUAUGGCAAAUGGCUGAGCACAAAUCCCAUUACUGGAGAAAGGGGAAGCUGAACAAAGGGUGCCAUAAAAGUCACCACAUUGUUCAGAGUGACUGCUCUAGAGUUCAGUUUAGCCUAGCGGCAGGGAUGGCAUAUUUGUGAUUGCAAAGGUGGCGGAAGCCUACAAGCACAAGAAAGAAUCUAAGGAGGCAAUUGAACAUGCAUUUAGUUUGUGUUCAUUUCAUUAUCUUGGGGAUACUUUAGAUGAUGAUGAAACUGUGGAGAAUAGAUUACUCCCAGCUGCAAAUAAAAUAUGGUCUUUCUUGGUUUCUUGUGUUUGAAAUAAGAAUCCCCUGGUGAGUGAUUA